rnacentral:misc_RNA from 1 species
AUAUAUCCAGCGCCUUGACUCAUUUAGGCACGCCUCAGUGCCCCUUGGUGCGUCUCUGUGAGGUGGUGCACCUUGCCUGUCCCAGGGCGCUUGGGGCUGUGCCUGGUGAGCCUUGUGCCAAGGGCGUGCCUGAGAUAACAGUGGUUGGUUUCUAUGUCCAGACACUGAUAUCUCACUGUGAAGGCAUGUACUGUAUUAGGCACUUUUGCUGAGAAUUUCUUGAGCACUUGUAAUGUGUGAGCAGUGAUGGAGAAAUAGCAAAGGAAUAAGCUCUACUAUUCAUUGAAAAUUUCUUUCAAAAAUAGGAGACAUGCUUAGGCUCUUGAAGGUGAAAUUGGGUUUAAAUAAAGAAAAGAAAGAGACUAUGAAAAAUGGAUUUUCACAAGUAGUCAUAGUUAUUAAAGGCUGAAGGUGCACUAAGGCGCCAAGGAGCCGUGGAGCCUAGGUGCAAGGUGCAAAUGCAAAGCACAAGCGCGCGCCUGAGUGAGGCGAGGUGCAAAAGUAAAAAAUUUUAAAAAUUUAAAAAAUCAAAUGAAUGUAAUGCUUUUCUUUUUUUCUUUUGGCAUAUAUCUUGAAUUGGGU